AUCAUGCCACCACACUCCAGCCUGGGUGACAGAGGGAGACUGUCUCAAUAAAAACAAAAAACAUGUUUUGUACCACAUAUCAGUCAAAAUAAGUGGCCGAAGGCUGUAGUUUGCUUUAAUUCACCUUCUAAGGCGGCUCUGGACCUUCCCUCAAGAAACGGUUUUCCUGCCCAUCAGUGCAGCUCUCUUCCCCUUUAAACACGAGGACUGCUGGGGCCAGGAAGACCACACUCCAGAAGGCGGGCGCAGCGGUGUGGACCUGAAGUCUCUGCGACUCAGGAGGACCCUGGAGCCCAAGAGCUCGAGGCCAGCCUGGGCAAUAGCAUCAGACCCCAUCUCUUCCAAACAAACAAACACACAAAAAGGCUAUGCUGCCAGGAGGAGUGAAAAACCAGAAAAAAACAAAAGUGGAGCUGCUGUGGGGCCACACCCGGCCCCCGGAGGGGAAAGGGGCUGGAGGUAACGGGGCAGCAAGGCCCGCAGGCCAGAGGGCUCCCGUCAUGAUUCCAGGGCAUCUGCAAACUCAAAUUUCAUAAUAGCUUUUGCUUGCAAAAGCAAAGUCCCUGAUUUGCUGUUUCUCCCAGGAGACUCUGGAGGUCUGUGCCUGACCAGGAGAUGCUCACGUUUCUAAGCCAAAAACAGUGACUGAAUAAAUGACUCAUUAGAGGGAUCCUUGAACAAACUGGCACCAGGCACUAAAUUCACACUUGAUCCGCUCAGCCUUAUAAUAAAGUCAUGAGGUAGUUCUACUACGUCCAUUUUACAGAUGAGAAAAUCAAGGUUCGAAGAAACUAAGUAAUGCUCCCAAUAUCUAGGCAGAAAAGCUGGGGUUCAGACCCGUCUCGUUGCCUCUGAGUCUGUCCUCUCUCCACUGUCCCAGCAGAAAAUCUCUCCCUAGAGAGGACCCUGUGGGGGUGCGGAGCAGAAGGGCAGGGGUCGGAGAGCCCAGGGUGGAGCGAGCUGGGACAGCUCCAGCAGCAGCAGAAGCCGGAAAUCUCCCGCAGCCCCCACCGUGCCUCCCAUAAAUGAAGGCCUCCCGAGAGGAGGGGACCUGGGGACGAGAACCAGCCACACCAGGCCAGGCCCGCAGGAGGCAUGAGAUGGAGGCGACUGAGUGAGGAGUGUCCUCUACCCUCACCACAAGGUCUGGGUGGAAAUCGCACCCUCAGGAUGAAUGGCCAACUCUCGCUGGGCUUCUCCACGCCUUCCCCAGGACCCUUCCCCAGUGCUUCCAACGAGGCCACAAACCGUGAGCGGCCCGUCUGACGUUUCCCUCUCGGAAUUCUAGGAUCAGUAACUGGUCCCCAGAAAGUGCGGAUCCCACCUCUCGGGAGCAUCUCAUCCCCUCCGCUUCUGCGGAAGAGGACGCCGCCCCCCAACCCCAAAGUGCCUGUGUUUCCUGGCGCCCUGGCACUCCAGCUCGUCAGCUAAGAACCUGGCCAUGCUGACAAAAUAUGCCACUUGAGACACGAGCUGGUUCUUGUGGCAUCAACCCUGAAAACAUGUUGGUCAAAGAGAAAAAAAAAAAAGGCAUCUGGAAAUUUCUACCUUCUAUUCUCCUGUUUGUAAUGAUGCCAGCAACCCGAGAGUGGGGGCAAAGCUGAGGUGCAAGUGCCUCGUACUCCGGAGACAUUCUGGGAAGCCAGAAUGUAUGAAACAUUCUGAGUCGGCGUGACUCAGCCGUGCCCACUGCUCCCUCUGACGGGCCAGCCAGGGGCACAGAAGGCAGGCAGGUGACCCGGGCAUUGCGCGCCUCCACCUGGUCCCAAAUGCUGAAGCCUUCGAGCAACUUAAAAAGGGUGAGGAAAACAAGGCCCCGGGGAGCAGGUGCCUUGUGGCCUCUGCCAGAAGGUUCAGGGGACUCUCUCCUGCAUGAGGAAGACACCAGGCACGACAAAGACGUGAUGCAACAUCUGGAACUGUCCGCUGUUAACAGGUGACGGCAAAAGUUGUCCAAGUCUUGUCCCUAUGCACACACCAUGUACACCACUCACAAACAAUGUACACACCACUCUGCAAACAAAACGUGAUGCUCUAGGAUUCGCUCACCCACAGUCAGCCACGCGUGCAGGUGCAGUGCUGAGGCCGAGGGCGCAGAGGGAGCCUGACAGUCAGUGGAAGCGUGCGCUCUACAACAGGGCACCGCUGGUCUGGCCCGCAGAGGACCAUGAGGGCAGGGGCUGGCGAGUCGCGUUGGCUGGAAAGGCCUCUCUGAGGAACUGAGGCUGAAGCUAGAAAACUCUGAAUGAUGCUGGGCCCCUGAGAUCCGGAGGAAGGGGCUCCAGGCAACAGAAGUGGCCGGGGUGCGGGCCUGAGGCACAGGAGCUGUGGGGCUCCUCAAAGAGCAGAAAGCCUGGUUUCAUGGCUACCGCCCCCCAAGAGCAGGAUCAGCGCCGACCAGGCUGCAGCGAGCGUCGGGCUGGCCACCGCGAGAGGCCUGGACAUCACUGCCGGCAGGGGCUGGAAGGGGCCUCACCACACCUGGGCGUUUCCAUCAUCAGAACACAAAAGCCCUGCUAGCCAGUAAGAGAGCUCUGCAGGAAAGAAAUCAGGAAGGCACAGUUGUAAGCACUGAUUGCAUUGGUUUUAAUGUGACUUAUUUAGUUGUAAGUUUAGCUCAUUUCAUCUUCAUAAUGGCUGUGUUUGGCAACCCACUUCCGCGAGCGGUAGCAGCAGUGCCGGCCACCACAGGCGGUCUUGGAGUUGGUAGAGGAUCAGGCGGCCUUCAUGGCAUUUUGGAGGAAGCACUGUCACAAAGGGAUGAUGGGCAGGCUGCCGGGAGUUAGGAAAAGAAAAGCAAAAUACAUUUGCUAGCUUCUGGCUUGAAUGCCUGGGCUGACCAGAGGGGCCACGCAGUGCCGGGGAGAAGCGGGAAGCAGUUCCAACUAUGCUGGGGCAGUAGUGCUGCCUCUGGAUCUGCGGCAGUGAGGCCUCAAAGGCGCCGAGGGCACUGGAGCAGGGGCCCCCAGCCAGUCACAGUUCCUGCGUCUGCACCCCAGGGCCUCUGAAAACUGGGAAGUCCACGCCACGGCCUCCGUGUGACACUCACCUGCUGCCCAUCACAGGCCACAGACACACUGAGAGGAACCCAAGAGGUGUCUGAAGCAGGACUGCCCACCAGGAGAGUGCGGGUCCUGAGCCCAGCUUCAGGGAGCUGAGCACAGAGGAGCCGAGGACACCAACAGCAGGACUGGCUGUGCUUCUGACAAAUGUGGUUUGGGCCACUGGGUGAGGGACAGAGGGAGCAGGCCAGGGAAUGGGCAGAGUGAGCCAACGCACAGGGGCAGUGCCGAGCCACCAUGCUGACCCAGUGAUGGCCAACAGCAUGCUCCAUCAUGGGGACCCUCCGCAGAGCCUCGGGGAGCAUCGCAGAGCUGCCUCCCUGAGGAAUGGGUGCAGGGACACCUCCACUGGCCCCUGGCCCGCAUGGUCAGGGGUGAUCCUGGGAAUAGCUUCCACACAUGCUAGGUGACAUGCAUGAAAGCCCAUCAGGUGCCCCUGGGCGUCCGGUGCCGAGAGAGGCAGAGGCAGGUGAAAGGCAAGAUGCCCCUGCAUGAAGAUGGUCCCGGCACCCACAGAGCAGGCCACCACAGUAGGGACUGGGUGGGAGUCAGGGCCUUCAGGAUCUGCAGGGGGCAAAGGCACCGGACGGCGAGUGCCCACGCCCCAGAGCCAGAGGCCCUUCCACUCUCCAGUGUCCUGGAGACCAGUGUCCUCGUUCAAAAAUAAACACACAAGCAGCUCUCCCACAGGAAGCUGAGGAGAGUCUGGGCUGCAGACUGGGGAGACCCAGGAUCGGGAAAGUUUUGUUUUAUUGUGUUUCUUAAUGUAAGUAAUUAGAGUAUAUUUAGAGGCUCAGAAAGGAAGUCAGGGACAUCAGGAAAAUGAGAGGAUAUUCACGAUGAAGGAGAGGUGGGAUCAAAAGCAUGAAGGAAGCCCAGGGAUGAUUUGUCUAAAUGCAUCCAUCAGUCUACCAAGUCAUCAAGUAAAACACAUCCCACCCCCACACCUAGACAAUCUACCUUCAUGGCAACCUGGAAGGCCAGGUUCAAAGUUCAAAGUUCAAAUACUGCAGAUGGUACAGAGAAAGCGUUACACAGCAAGAAAGCAGGCAGCUGGAUGAGCACAGAGCCACGCUGGAGGGGGACAGAGUCACACUGGGGGUGUGAGGGGACGGACCCCACAGAGGGAGGCAGAGUUACGCUAGAGGGGGACAGAGCCACGCUGGAGGGGGACAGAGUCACACUGGGGAUGUGAGGGGACGGACCCCACAGAGGGGGACAGAGCCACGCUGGAGGGGGACAGAGCCACGCUGGGGGUGUGAGGGGACGGAGCCCCACAGAGGGAGGCAGAGCUAGGCUAGAGGGGGACAGAACCACACUGGAGGGGGCCAGAGCCACGCUGGGGGUGUGAGGGGACGGACCCUACAGAGGGAGGCAGAGCUACGCUAGAGGGGGACAGAGCCACGCUAAGGAGGAACACAGCCACGCUGGGGUGUCAGGGGACGGAGCCCCGCUGGCAGUGGAGAACACGCAGCCGGGCUCCAUGUUCACAGCUGUGCGGUGCAGCCAGAACCCUGAGCCGGUGCUCUUCCCUGCAUCCUGCAUUUCCUGGGUAAGGAAGGAGAAGCCUGACAGCAAGGGGUUCCACCGAGGCUGGGACUCCGCUAGGUGCGCGUGGAGGUAGAGAAGCAGCGGCGGCUGCCAGUAAGUGUCUCCACUGCGGAACCUGUCACCCAGCUGGUGGGGGAGGAAACCAAGCAGGGUAAAAGGGGCUGAGACAAAGUUGCCUAAAGGUUGGGCUUUUGAAGUACUAGAAACUUCCUCUUCUCGGGAGGUGGCAGACAAGUCAUCUCACAGGCUCUCGUGCUGUGGAAACCCCAGGUUCUACAUAAAAUACACCUUCUGUCACACUGCUGAACUAACCGGCAGUAAGGAAACCCUCCAACAAGCCAGAAAUAUAUAAUUAAGAGAAAUGAAAGCAACUCAAGUUAUGCUGACAGCAGAGUUGAGGGCAGCAGGUGGAGGACUGCACGAGGGUCAGGGCCAAGGUGAGCCCAGAGCCGCAGGGUUCAGGAUGCUGGGGCUGGAGUCCAGGGCAGCUCCCAGGAAAUGCACACGGGAUGCCCAUCGGAGAAUGGCCUCCUCACUCCAAUCCCUCUGUUUCCAAACAGUAAGACCAGAGAGACAUACGCUCCCAAGCAAACACAAGCCAACACAGAAAGAAGUGAAAAAAAGGCAGCAAACACAUCAAAAGACAGUCAAGUUCUUCAGUUACUCAUAUCAUUAGAAACUGUAUGAUUACUGUUUCUGAAACUUUUGAAGAAAAGAAUCUAUUAAUGUUUUAUCCACUAUCAUUUUCCCAUGUGUGUUUUGAUUAAAUACAAAGUUUACGAAAAUACUUGAAAAAUUUUAAGUAAUGAAAAAGAGGAAGCAACAGAAUUGUCAAAAUUAAUCAUUUUAGGAAAAGAACAAAGUAGAUUUUCAAAAAUAAAAAGUAUAAUUGAUGCAUUUAAAAAAAGAAAACCCUCAAUGAAUGACUUAAGCAAUAAAUGCCAUGCAAAACUGAAAAGGAGAUUAGGUGAAUGACAAGAUCCUGACGAAGAAAUCAGCUGAGCAGAGGGAAUCAAAAUACAAAAAUGCAGGAGAGCCCAAAUCCUGUGUUUUGUAUUCUCAAAGUAAAAGUCCAAGGAUAGUUGAAAACCCAGAAGUGCCACCUAAGGAGGUGUGACAGCUGACUCUGCAGGACUGGGAAGCAAGGGAAGGUAGGAAGGAAGACAAUGGAGACGUAUUUAAAGGCCACUGCUGCAGAUUUCCAGAACUGAUAAAAGACACAAACUCACAAAGAGGCAAACAUAUUCUCACAAGAGAACAGGGUGCUCCACACCCAAACACACCCUGACAAACCUGGAAGCACCAAGGACAAAAGAAAAAUGUGACGAGCAGCCAGUGAGACACAGACAGACAAGGAAGGAGUGGCUGCUAUGCUGAGGCAGGCCAGCCAAGGAUGAGAAGAGUACACUAAACGUGAUGAAAGGAGAAAAAGAAAACUCACCUGCAAGUUUUGCCUAACAGUCACUCAGGCAUGUUGGUCAAAGAGAGACAUUUUCAGAUCAGACGAACACACAGGCGCACCGACUGUAUCACCAAGAGGUCUACUAAAGCUACUCCUAAGGGGUAUGUGUUCAUCAGGAAAAGAGAACGUGACCCCGCAGGAGGGUGUCUGAUGCAAGCAGGAAGCACAAGUGCACAGGGAGCUGGACACUGACCAGGGCAGGGAAUGUCCUGGGGACCUCUUGGACAAUACGAGGCUUUUGGUCACAUCUAUAGCACGACGGGGCAAGUGUCACACUUCACAAGCCACCAGUGAUCCAUCAGCAUAAACUGCAACCGUGCUGGAUUUCCUGUUUUCCCUGUGGUCUCCUGUUCCGGGGCCCACCCAGGACCCCACAGUCCCUCCUUUAUCUUCAUGAUUCCUGAGGUUCCUUUGGCUGCGACAGUUUCUCAGACUUGCCUUGUUUUUAAUGACCUUGACAGUUUCAAGUACUUGAUUGAGUGUUUCCUAGAAUGUCCCUUAAUUAGAAUUUGUUUGAUGUCGUCAUGACCAGAUGGGGUUGUAUGUUUUUGGGAGAAAGGUCACAGAGACUAAGUGGUAUCUCCUUACAUCAUCUCAAAGCUGUGCUGUUGACAUGACCUUUUAAAAACUUAGGAUGGAAAUGAAAACGCUAAGUGUCAAAACCUGUUGUAUGCACCCAACGCCUAUUUCAAGGGAAAUGUGUCGCUUAUAACAGAAGGAAGGUUAAGAACUAAUGUGAGCUGCACAUCCAGCCUUGGGAGAAAGAGAACAGCGGGUGCAGCCAGCCACAGAAAGUACCAGGAAGAUAAGAGAAGGCAUUUAAAACACUGAAAGCUGACUUAAACUAAGGGAAUCCACAAAGCCAGAGUGACUCAAAACAGUGAAUACAGAUUAAUCAAGAAGAAGGGGCUGAGUCAUGUUGGAAAUGAAAAAGGGUACACAGAGACAAAUCCAGCAAAGAUUUAAACACCAGAAGCAAAUCUAUGACAAUAAAAUGGAAAACUUAGAUUAAGUAGAACUCCUGAAAACUUUCUUUUCAAUCCGUACGACAGGAAUUAAAAGGUCAGGUUAUUAGUAACCAUUAAAGAUGUUAAAUCAGUAGUUAAAACAUCAAAUCACCAAGGAAAUAUGAACCCCAAAUAGUUUGAGGUUAAUUUUUACAAACUUUCAAGGAAUAAUUAAUUCUAAUCUUAAAUAAACUAUCCCUGAAAGUAAAAAAAAAAAAAAAAGACAUUAAACAAGGAAAAUUUCCGUCCCCUCCAAUUAAAGAACAGAGAUGAAGAAUCCUGAAGCACUAGCAAAGUAUGAAAAUGACAAGAUUUAUCACAAACAAGUUGAAUCCACGGCAAGAGAUCAGGGAAGUUUAAAGAAAAUUCGCACCACACAAUCAUCACAACAGGCGGAGUAAAAGCAUUUGGCUAAUGGAACACAGCUAUCCACGAACUUCCCUCGAAAAACGGAAUCUGAAAUAACCUAUGUCAAACAUCACGCUUAAACUGGGAAAAUGUUAAAAACCUUCUCUUUAAUGUCAAGGACGACGGAAGCCCAGUAUUUCUGCUCUUAUUCAAAACUGAACUGGAAUUCCCAGCUAGCACAGUAAGACAAGGAAAACAAACACAGGAAUUAGAGAGAAAGACACUAAACUAGCAUCAUUACACUGACAGUCUUUGUCUUAGAAACCCUGAAGAAUCUACAGAAAGAAAUUUUAGAAUGUGUAAGAUUUUAAUAAGACGACUGGAUAUAAAAAUAAAAUACAAAAAUCAACUGCAUUUCCAAAAACUAGCAAGGAAAAAUUUAAUUAAGAAAAAAAAAUAUAUUGUCUGCAGCAGAAAAACAAAACAACUACAAUCUACCAAAGAGUAAAGAAUAAAUCUAACUGGACACGUGCAAGACCUUUAUGGAGAAAACUAUAAAAAUCUAUUGGAAAAAACACAGUAAAGAGGACCUAAUCGAGGGAAAGAGAAGCCACACACACAAAUACACUAUCAAGAUGCCAACCCUCCCUUCAAAUUCAUCCACAGAGUCAAUGCAACUCUAAUCCAGUUUCAGGCUUGGCUUUUUACAGGAACUUGUCUCCAGAUAAGUUACAGCCUAGGAGGAGCUAGGAAAGUCUCAAGGAGGGGCUGAGACUCGGGAGUGAGGCUGCAGAGCCUCUCAGGAGACAGUGCCCUGCUGGCCCCAGGAUAGGCUCGGGAGCAGCUGAGCACAGGGAGGGUCCAAAACAGACCGAACUUGGAGGAUGAGCUGGCCACACAGCUAUCCCAGAGAAAGGGUGUCAAGUGUCAAACAUUAUGGUUCUCAAAAUGAGCAAAGAAAAUGAAACUGAUCCCGACCUUGCACCCCACACAAAAACCGAAGGCUUCAGUACGAAAGACAAAACGUCAAAGGCCUUAAGAGAAAAUAUACAAGGUUAUCUUGUUGGCCUUGAGGUAGGGAAGGUUUUCUCGGGGUUGUUUUGUUUUUAAACAAAAUACAAAAAAAACAGUAACCACAAAAGAAAAGGUCUGCUUUUUGGCUUAGUCGAGGUGUCAUUUAAGAACUGUUUUUGCAUAUAACUUUUCUUGUGUUAUACUAUGUACGUGUUUCCAGAUCAAGGAAGUCGAGUGAAACACUUCUAA